GCUUGUGGGACACCCCUCAGUCCUGCGCUCUGAUCCAGAGCGUGCCCUGGUCUACGUGGAGCCUGCUGCGGAGUGCUGCCCCAGGAACUCCCUCUGGGGACUGCAGCUGGACGCCCAACUCCGCAGCCUCGCGGUGCCUUCCUCGUGUCUGCUGGUGGGGCUGGAUGGAGUCGGCCUGGGUGCAGCUCAGACUGCUCCUUUGACGGGAGGAGCUCCUUCUGCCUGCUGCCGGACCAGCGCCUCCAGAAUCUGCACUCUGGCUUCUGCGUCUUUCAGAAACCCAGGAGCCCACGGCUCUUCCUGCAGAAGGGCUCCUCCCAUGCCCUACGCUUUGCACUAGAUGAAGACGUGCAUUGCCCCAGAGCUGGAGAUCCAGGAAAGAUAAAUUUCCCCAUGUUGUAGCAAGUGCUGCCCUUGAAUAGAAUCAGGCCCUGAAGUACUGUCAGAGAUUCCAAAAUGGGAGCCUCCUCACAUUGAGCAGCCCGGAAGAUCAGAGCUGGUUGCAAAAGGAGUUGCCUAGGAGUGUCUGGACUGGUUUGCAUGGCGUCCGCAGGGGUUCUCUGCACAAAUGGGCCGAUGGGACCUCCUUUAACAAGGAUUUGCACAGCUGGAUUCUCCCUGCAGAGGUUCCUAGUGAAAUGGUCUGUCUUGCUGUUGCAGUCUGGCUUCCUGAAGGAGGAGGCGUGCCAGACACCUCACCCCUGGGUGUGUCAGACCCUGCAGAGGAACAGGUUCUACGUGGAGGUCUCUGGGAAAUCCUUUUAUUGAAACUUGUCUGCAGAAGGGAGCUUCUCCUCCCUGCCAGACGCCAAAGCACACUGCAUCUCCCUGGGCAGGGGCUGCAGCGCAGUGGUCAGCAAGGCUGGCUCGUACUACCUCUAUCGUGGGACACGCUUGGUGAACCUGGAGGGUCCAUGGCUGGAUCCUCCAGGUUCACCAGCAGCUGCUGUGCACAUCAAAGCAGGGUGUGUUCCGGGCUUUAUGGGGCAGGACUGUCAGUCAGAGUGUCCUGUGUGUGACACUGGAGUGAGCUGCAACCCCCUCAAAGGCACCUGUGAUGGCCUGUUGUACUCCAGACAGCACGCUGGCACACAGGCAGCAG